GCUAUCAGACAGAUUAUGUAAGUACCAGAUCAGUUACCUUGCCUGGUGCCGUUCGUUCAAGGCCAUCCCUAUUCCCACGAACCGACUUCCGCGUUAUCGUGACCGGUACGGGAAGGAAGUGCGAUUAAGAAAUAGCGAUCCGUGGAGUGAGGAACCGGUUGACAAACUCUAGAACCAUGCGACGGAGGAAAUUCUUUUUUACUCGUGUACAGAAGAGGAAACGCAAUUAUCAGCCGCGCGCUUGGCACCCUGCAUGAGAGGCGGUGGAACAAGGUUGAAAAACUGCCAAAAAAUGACGAUGCACUGCGCCUGCAACUGGAAAUAGACGGUGCCAUGGAGAAAGUGAGGGAUAGCUUGCAAGAAACAACCAGUCUGGUCAACUGCGACAAGCUGGCUCAAGCUGCGCUCACUUCGCUGAUCUUGUUUAAUCGGCGGAGGUCUGGUGAAACAGAACGACUGACGGUGGAUGAUUAUCGGGCGAAAACCUACGAAGUUAAUAAGGAUAUUACUGAUGAUUUGUCUGUGCUCGAACGCGAACUAUGUACAACCCUAGGUCACGUAAAGAUACGCAGAAAGCGAGGAAGAGAGGUCCCAAUGCUCCUGAAAGGCAGGAUAACCGAGGUCCCUGACCUUCUGGUUGCCUCCAGAGAGGCUUCUGGCAUUCAUGAAAGCAGUCCGUACGUUUUCACUGGUGAUGCAGCCAAGGACGCCCGGCCACUGAGUGGGAGCAAGUGUAUUUCUCAGUUUGCUGAGCGUGCAGAAGUUGUGAAUGUGACAGCUACAUCUAUGCGAAAGCAUAUCGCAACAAUGAUACAACUUUUGCAUUUGAGCGAAACGGAACUGGACGUUGUCGCGAGGUUCAUGGGACAUGACACCAGGGCUCAUCGGGAAUAUUACCGCUUGCCCGAGCGGACGGUGUAUGGCGCUUAAGUCAGCGAGCUGCUCCUGGCAAUGAAGAAGCCUGGCAGUGCAUACGUUGGUAAGGCGUUGGAAAAACUCGACCCCUGCACAAGUGAUGAAGACAAGAGCGUGGUUGAAGACCUAGGUGAGAGCUACGACAAUGAGGCGAAAGGACCAAAACGACAAAUGGAAGAAAGUGAAGAGGAAAAAGGAAAACGUAAGCGGCAGAAGACAGAAUGUGAUGUGAUGCCUGAAAGUGGUGGACGUGAUGAUCAGGGCUCACCUUCCACUAGACAUUCCACUAACCGCCUUCCUGUCCCCGAGAGAAAGAUACGAAAGAUCUCAUGGACCGUUCGUGAAAUGCAAGCAAUUGAAAGUCAGAUGUCCAGGUCUAUGAGCGACUUGACCUGUCCCGGUAUGGCCGAUUGCAUCGCCGCUUUGCACGCCGAGCCAGAUUUGUGUCGUCGCUCCUGGACCGACGUGAAGUACUGUACAUAUAACCUCGUCGUAAAACAUAGGCGUAGCCUGAAUCUGUGAGACUAGUUUCACCAUGCUGCAGUAAUAUGCAAACAGUCAAGGGCAGCCACCCGUUGAGGCCGUUCUUUGACCUGUGCUCAAGGUUUUACCAGCUGCAUUGUUCAGAUCAGACUAGACCAACUUAAGCGUUGGUGGCAUGUGGAAAAGUUCUUGACAUAAGCUGUCUUGUGUUGGUGAACUCGAGAGCCGCUACGUAAUAUACCAGUAUAUUACCAG
rnacentral:lncRNA from 1 species